rnacentral:tRNA from 1 species
AGCAGCGUGGCUCAGUGGAAAGAGCCCGGGCUUGGGAGUCAGAAGUCGUGGGUUCGAAUCCCGGCUCUGCCA